rnacentral:rRNA from 1 species
GUCUUCAGCCAUGCCACCCUGAAUAAGCCCGAUGUCUAAUCUUGUGAAGCUAAGCAGGGUUGGGCCUGGUUAGUACUUGGAUGGGAGGCCACCUAGGAAGACCAGGUGCUGUAGGCA